GAAAAGCAAUGGAAGAAUCACGAACAGUCAAAAAAGCACAGGGAGAAGGUUGCAGAGUUCAAAGAAUCACUAGAGGAUGAGGAUGAAUCUGAAGAAUUUGUUGAUGAAGGAGAAGGUGAAGAAGAAACAACACUGCUGGAUGAUGAGGUAGAUAAACUAGGGGAGGAGCUCAAGGAAAGUUUUGAUAUUGAGGAAGCAAAAAUUGAAAGUGGAGG
rnacentral:misc_RNA from 1 species